UUUUUUUUUUUUUUUUUUUGGGUCUUUUUUUCGGAGCUGGGGACCAAACCCAGGACCUUGUGCUUCCUAGGCAAGCGCUCUACCACUGAGCUAAAUCCCCAACCCCGUGGUGUUGCAUUUUUGAGCUGCAUUUUUGAGCAUCUAUGGGCUUGGCUUCCUCAGGACAGCCAUUCCUGCUUUCUCAGACCUGCAGGCACCCAGCAGUCUAUUUGAAAUGGCAGGGGAUCUUUACUUUUUGCUUGGUUGGUUCGUUCAUUUCUUCCUUUUAUCCUUAAUGUCUGUACGAUACGUGUGCGUAUAUGACAUGUGCAUGUGUGUUGUUUCCAUAUGAUGUAUGUGUGAGUGAGGGCAUGAGCACUUUAUAAAACAUCUGUGGAGGUCAGAGAUCGCUUUAGGUGAUCCUCCUUGCCUUCCACCAUGUCUAAGGUGGUGAUGGGGUGGGGUGAGGGUGGGUGUGUAUGUGUCUCCUUGAUGUAUCUCCUGGUAGUGUUUCAGGCUUGCUGGCUCUUCCAGAUUCCAUUCUGGCUUUUAUGUGGGUUCUGGGGUUUGAACUCGGGUCCAUAUGCUUACACACAAGCCUUUUCCCCCACUGAGCCAUUCCUUCAGUUCUUUCCCUUUCUCCAAUUCUCCGUCUCUGCUGUCAGCAUGUCGGGAUAAGUUUUAAAGGAUGAUCCUGUUGGGAGUGAGGAUGUGGUUGGGUGGCAGAGUGCAUGAUCAGCACAGGGAAGGCCCUGGGCUUAACCCCCAUCAUUAAUAAAUAGGUACAAACUUGAAAGCUGGGGAGACAGCUCCGCUGAUAAAGUGCUUGUCUUUCAUGUGUGAGGACCUGAGUUCAAACCCCAGCCCCGCAUAAACCACAACUGGUGGCCCAUGCAUGGUGAUCUCAGUGGGGGCAGGAGGGCAGAAUUCCAAGAGCAUCCUGGGUUGAGUUCAAGGACAGUCUGGGACAGA
rnacentral:lncRNA from 1 species